UUUAUAAUCUUAUAACCUACAUCUCAAUCUCCCCAGGGGCUGCACCACAUCCACAAGAACGGGGCCGUUCAUAAAGACAUCAAGAGCCCGAACAUCAUGCUCACAGAGACGGCCAAAGUGAAGAUCAGUGAGUAAAACUUACAGUUAUAAGAGUAAUGGAUGGUGGGGAGCUUCUGUGAAUAUGGAGUCAGGGGGUUUCAUAAUUCAGGUUUCUAUCUUAUUUGGUUAAACAAGUUAUUUUCCAUUAAUGGAUUCUAUCUGUCAUUUCAGUCGACUUUGGACACAGCUGGGACCUGGACCCGCAAACUGGGUUGUGCCACGAAGCGGAAGGGACACCACAUUGGAUGGCACCCGAGGCCAUAAGGCAGAAGGGCCAGCGCCUGGCGUACGACACCAAAUGUGACAUCUGGUCGCUGGGGAUAACCGCCAUCGAAAUGGCUGAAGGAAAACCACCAUACACAGGGCAAUAUCCAGUUGAGGACCUGAUAAUUGAAGCCCAACCACCGAAGCUUCAAUCGAACACCUGGUCACAGCAUUUUGUGUCCUUCUUGGAGUCCUGUCUGAAAAAGGAUCCUUCGGAGAGAGCGAGUGCUGAAGAACUCCUGCAGCACCCAUUCGUCACCCAAAUACCACCUAAGAAGAUCGUCAGGGCUGAGAUAGAAGAACAUCUCCGGACUCUGCAGAACUUGCCGGCCAAGAAAGGACUGAAGGGAGUUGCUCUCUCAAAGCUGCGGCGUGCUUGUGACUUCUGCACACAGACAUCGGCAGAACAAGAAGCAGCUCUGCAAAUGGCCCUGGAAGGCUUCUCCUGUUAUUGAUAUUGUGGCCAAUAACAUCAACAGCCCAGAAUCAGUUUCCUAAAUCACAGCCAAGGAAAAAGAAACAUCCACAGGAUCCAGUGGCGUCUGCAGCUCCACCAGCAACAUCUCCUUUCAAGCUGAUGCAGUUCAGCAAGUGGUAACUUCAAGAUUCCUGCAAC